UGGGGAAUAUUGCACAAUGGGCGCAAGCCUGAUGCAGCCAUGCCGCGUGUGUGAAGAAGGCCUUCGGGUUGUAAAGCACUUUCAGCGAGGAGGAAGGUGGUGAGCUUAAUACGCUCAUCAAUUGACGUUACUCGCAGAAGAAGCGCCGGCUAACUCCGUGCCAGCAGCCGCGGUAAUACGGAGGGUGCAAGCGUUAAUCGGAAUUACUGGGCGUAAAGCGCACGCAGGCGGUUUGUUAAGUCAGAUGUGAAAUCCCCGGGCUCAACCUGGGAACUGCAUUUGAAACUGGCAAGCUAGAGUCUCGUAGAGGGGGGUAGAAUUCCAGGUGUAGCGGUGAAAUGCGUAGAGAUCUGGAGGAAUACCGGUGGCGAAGGCGGCCCCCUGGACGAAGACUGACGCUCAGGUGCGAAAGCGUGGGGCAGCAAACAGGAUUAGAUACCCUGGUAGUCCACGCUGUAAACGAUGUCGAUUUUGGAGGUUGUGCCCCUUGAGGCGUGGCUUCCGGAGCUAACGCGUUAAAUCGACCGCCUGGGGAGUACGGCCGCAAGGUUAAAACUCAAAGGAAUUGC
rnacentral:rRNA from 1 species